AUAUAUACUCGUAUUAUACACGUUUUGAUAAGCAGGACCGGUCAUGGGCCAAGCCUAAUGAAACAUUCGCUUCGAGCCACCAAAAUUUUUGAAAACAUUUAUACGUAAAAAAGUUCCUAAAUUUAAAAGAAAAAAUUUUAGCCUCUAAAAUUUUAAAAUCUUUACUAAAUGGUCUAGUACCCCCAAAUUUUCACCUGAGUAUAUGAACUUUUGAAUCCAUUAAAGAAUAAAUAACUAUAUAUAUAUAUAUAUAUAUUUAAAAAAAAAUAUGCAUUUUCUUUAUUAAUAAUAGGUUACUUGUACCCAAACGGAGUAAACAAAAAAGAAAACUUUUUUUUUGCACUAGCAUUUGUUUUUAUUAUGAAUGUUAAAAGCACUAGCAUUAUUGGUUUGCUUUGUGGGCUUCGUACGUAAUAACCAAAUUUAUGUUUUACGAUUUAUUUUCAUUGGAACUUGAAUAUUUCACUAACCGUUGGACAAAACCACAACUAAAUAUUUAAUGUAGCUUAAGUAUAACAUGAAAGGGUUAUUAACUACUCCCUUCGGGUUCAUAGACAUUUUUCACACAGAAUAAGAAAAUGAUUGAAAUGCAUUAAAUUCUUUAUUAAUUACACAUAUUCAACCAAUAGUAUUUGAGAUAAAUGAAAUUAUUUAUAAAAUCAAUGCAUUUGUAAUUAAUUUGAAACUGAAAAUUGCAUUAAAAUUCUAAAAUGAUACUCUUUUUGUAACAAAAGAAAAUA